GGCACUGGCACGAUUAGGUCAUAAGCUUGCCAGUAAGGCGUCACAUCUACGGGCCACGCCACACAUCUCAGCCAGUCUGGGCCUCUGGGUUUCCUUUCCUUCCCCCACUGGAUGGCUUCUUAGGAUCCUACAUACUCCAGCGACUCUACAUUCGCCUCCCCUUCAACACACGUGCUUUUGCUGACUUGCUGCUGGGUUCCUUGCAAAACCUAUACCAUGUCCUAAUGGGCAGAGAUGCACAAUCUUGAAGGAAGCCAUGACCUGAUCCGCUGUAUCUGUGUCAGCCGUCUCUCGGGACAUGAAGUCGAUGAAGGCCUGGAACGUCACUACCCCCAAGCGGUUUGGGUCUACAAUGCUCAUGAUCCGGGCAAAUUCUGCCUCUCCCUAGAGGAAACAGCCAACACACACCUGUCACCCUAGUGGCCUACUGGGUGUCUCAGGUGUACGUCCAGCCCUAAGUAGCCUAUGGUUGGAACAGGAGGGCACAACAGACCUCUGAUCUGGCUUGGGUUGCCCCAGGGUAUGAACGUGACUCAAUAGUUGGGAUUUUCAGGAUUUCCAACCCCCCAACCCCCUGCAGUGCCCUUGGUUUCCUUUAUAGGAAAUGAUGGCAGUAUUAAUUAUAAUGACAAUAAAAUGAACAAUGGCUAACACCCAC
rnacentral:lncRNA from 1 species